rnacentral:rRNA from 1 species
UACGAGGGGGGCGAGCGUUGUUCGGAAUUACUGGGCGUAAAGCGUGCGUAGACGGUUAUGUAAGUCGGGUGUGAAAGCCCCGGGCUCAACCUGGGAAUUGCAUUCGAGACUGUGUAGCUAGGGUACGGAAGAGGGAAGCGGAAUUUCAGGUGUAGCGGUGAAAUGCGUAGAUAUCUGAAGGAACACCAGUGGCGAAAGCGGCUUCCUGGUCCAGUACCGACGUUCAGGCACGAAAGCGUGGGGAGCAAACAGG